GCUUGGCAUGAUGGCACACACCUGUCAUCCCAGAUCCCAGCUAGCCUGAGGCUCACAGAUCUCUUGAACUCAGGAAUUCUGAGCUGCUGUGGGCAAUAUCCAUCAGAUAUCUGCACUAAGUUCAGCAUCAUUAUGGUCAACCCAAUGGGGAUUUUACCUAAGGAGGGAUAAAUUGGCCCAGGUCAGAAACAGAGCAGGUCAAAGCUCCUAUGCCAAUCAGUGGUGGGACUGGGCCUUUACACUUCCAGCCUUGGCAAGAUGGGCAUACCUACUCUUA
rnacentral:sRNA from 1 species